rnacentral:rRNA from 1 species
ACAGAGGGUGAGAAUCCCGUACGUGGUCGCUGGCUAUUGCCGUGUAAAGCCCCUUCGACGAGUCGAGUUGUUUGGGAAUGCAGCUCUAAAUGGGAGGUACAUUUCUUCUAAAGCUAAAUAUUGGCCAGAGACCGAUAGCGCACAAGUAGAGUGAUCGAAAGAUGAAAAGCACUUUGGAAAGAGAGUCAAACAGCACGUGAAAUUGUUGAAAGGGAAGCGCUUGCAGCCAGACUUGCUUACAGUUGCUCAUCCGGGUUUCUACCCGGUGCACUCUUCUGUAGGCAGGCCAGCAUCAGUUUGGGCGGUAGGAUAAAGGUCUCUGUCACGUACCUCCUUUCGGGGAGGCCUUAUAGGGGAGACGACAUACUACCAGCCUGGACUGAGGUCCGCGCAUCUGCUAGGAUGCUGGCGUAAUGGCUGUAAGCGGCCCGUCUUGAAACACGGACCAAGGAGUCUAACAUCUAUGCGAGUGUUUGGGUGUCAAGCCCGAGCGCGUAAUGAAAGUGAACGGAGGUGGGAACCCGCAAGGGUGCACCAUCGACCGAUCCUGAUGUCUUCGGAAGGAUUUGAGUAAGAGCAUGGCUGUUGGGACCCGAAAGAUGGUGAACUAUGCUUGAAUAGGGUGAAGCCAGAGGAAACUCUGGUGGAGGCUCGCAGCGGUUCUGACGUGCAAAUCGAUCGUCAAAUUUGGGCAUAGGGGCGAAAGACUAAUCGAACAUCAUGGC